GGGGAAUUGAACGCUGCUGGCGUGUUUAAGAACUGCUAGUCGCACGGAAUGAACCGAGUAGUAAUACCUGGUGAUUUUAGUGGCGCACGGGUGAGUAACACGUGAAUUACAUGCGGUUCAGUGGGGAAUAGCCCGGGGAAACCCGGAUUAAUACCCCAUGGUACCGCAAGGUUAAAGGUGGCCAGCAAUGGCUGCCGCUGGAGGAUUGGUUCGCGCCCUAUCAGCUUGUUGGUGAGGUAACGGCUCACCAAGGCUACGACGGGUACCUGGUCUGAGAGGACGAUCAGGCACACUGGAACUGAGACACGGUCCAGACACCUACGGGUGGCAGCAGUCGAGAAUAAUUCACAAUGGACGAAAGUCUGAUGGUGCAACGCCGCGUGGAGGAUGACGGUCUUCGGAUUGUAAACUCCUGUCAUCUGGGAGAAAGACCUGGGAGUUAAUAGCUCACAGGGUUGAUAGUACCAGAAGAGGAAGGGACGGCUAACUUCGUGCCAGCAGCCGCGGUAAUACGAAGGUCCCAAGCGUUGUUCGGAAUCACUGGGCGUAAAGGGAGCGUAGGCGGCGCGGUAAGUCGGAUGUGAAAUCCCGAGGCUCAACCUCGGAACUGCAUCUGAUACUGCCGUGCUAGAGUAAUGGAGGGGUAGCUGGAAUUCUNCGUGUAGCAGUGAAAUGCGUAGAUAUCGAGAGGAACACUCGUGGGCGAAGCGAGCUACUGNACAUUUACUGACGCUGAGGCUCNGAGGCUAGGGGAGCGAAAGGGAUUAGAUACCCUGUAGUCCUAG
rnacentral:rRNA from 1 species